UUUUCGUUUUUUCGUAUCCAACGUUUGACCAUUUGUCUUAUUUGAAAAAAAUUGUACAAAAACUUUAAAAAUUAGUCACGUUUAAAGUACUAUUUAUAUUAUAUUAUCUAGUAACAAUAAAAAUAUUAAUCAUAAAAAAAUUUUAAAUAAGACGAAUGGUCAAACGUUGGACACGGAAAA
rnacentral:pre_miRNA from 1 species